rnacentral:rRNA from 1 species
AUUGAACGCUGGCGGCAGGCCUAACACAUGCAAGUCGAACGAGUGGCGGACGGGUGAGUAAUGUCUGAGAAACUGCCUGAUGGAGGGGGAUAACUACUGGAAACGGUAGCUAAUACCGCAUACCAUCAGAUGUGCCCAGCUGGGAUUAGCUAGUGGGUGGGGUAACGGCUCACCAAGGCGCCGAUCCCUAGCUGGUCUGAGAGGAUGACCAGCCACACUGGGACUGAGACACGGUCCAGACUCCUACGGGAGGCAGCAGUGGGGAAUAUUGCACAAUGGGCGCAAGCCGGAUGCAGCCAUGCCGCGUGAAUGAAGAAGGCCUUCGGGUUGUAAAGUACUUUCGGCGGGGAGGCGUUACCCGCAGAGGAAGCACCGGCUAACUCCGUGCCAGCAGCCGCGGUAAUUC